GACGAACGCUGGCGGCGUGCCUAAUACAUGCAAGUCGAACGCUGAAGGAGGAGCUUGCUCUUCUGGAUGAGUUGCGAACGGGUGAGUAACGCGUGGGUAACCUGCCUGGUAGCGGGGGAUAACUAUUGGAAACGAUAGCUAAUACCGCAUAACAGUAGAUGUUGCAUGACACUUGCUUAAAAGGUGCAAUUGCAUCACUACCAGAUGGACCUGCGUUGUAUUAGCUAGUUGGUGGGGUAACGGCUCACCAAGGCGACGAUACAUAGCCGACCUGAGAGGGUGAUCGGCCACACUGGGACUGAGACACGGCCCAGACUCCUACGGGAGGCAGCAGUAGGGAAUCUUCGGCAAUGGACGGAAGUCUGACCGAGCAACGCCGCGUGAGUGCAGAAGGUUUUCGGAUCGUAAAGCUCUGUUGUAAGAGAAGAACGAGUGUGAGAGUGGAAAGUUCACACUGUGACGGUAUCUUACCAGAAAGGGACGGCUAACUACGUG
rnacentral:rRNA from 1 species